CCGCAAGGUUGAAACUCAAAGGAAUUGACGGGGGCCCGCACAAGCAGUGGAGUAUGUGGUUUAAUUCGAAGCAACGCGAAGAACCUUACCAGGUCUUGACAUCCGACUAACGAAGUAGAGAUACAUUAGGUGCCCUUUUGGGAAAGUCGAGACAGGUGGUGCAUGGUUGUCGUCAGCUCGUGUCGUGAGAUGUUGGGUUAAGUCCCGCAACGAGCGCAACCCUUGUCAUUAGUUGCUACGCAAGAGCACUCUAAUGAGACUGCCGUUGACAAAACGGAGGAAGGUGGGGACGACGUCAAAUCAUCAUGCCCCUUAUGACCUGGGCUACACACGUACUACAAUGGCCGUUAACAGAGGGAAGCAAUACCGCGAGGUGGAGCCAAACCCUAAAAACGGUCCCAGUUCGGAUUGCAGGCUGAAACUCGCCUGCAUGAAGUUGGAAUUGCUAGUAAUCGCGGAUCAGCAUGCCGCGGUGAAUACGUUCCCGGGCCUUGUACACACCGCCCGUCACACCAUGGGAGCCGGUAAUACCCGAAGCCAGUAGUCUAACCGCAAGGAGGACGCUGUCGAAGGUAGGAUUGGCGACUGGGGUGAAGUCGUAACAAGGUAGCCGUAUCGGAAGGUGCGGCUGGAUCACCUCCUUU
rnacentral:rRNA from 1 species